UGAGGAAUAUUGGUCAAUGGACGCAAGUCUGAACCAGCCAUGUCGCGUGAAGGAUGACUGCCCUAUGGGUUGUAAACUUCUUUUAUAUGGGAAGAAUAUGAUUACGUGUAAUCAAAUGCCGGUACCAUAUGAAUAAGCAUCGGCUAACUCCGUGCCAGCAGCCGCGGUAAUACGGAGGAUGCAAGCGUUAUCCGGAUUUAUUGGGUUUAAAGGGUGUGUAGGUGGACCUUUAAGUCAGUGGUGAAAUCCUGCAGCUUAACUGUAGAACUGCCAUUGAAACUGAAGGUCUUGAGUAUAGACGAGGUAGGCGGAAUGAGUUAUGUAGCGGUGAAAUGCAUAGAUAUAACUCAGAACACCGAUUGCGAAGGCAGCUUACUAGACUAUUACUGACACUGAUGCACGAAAGCGUGGGUAGCGAACA
rnacentral:rRNA from 1 species